rnacentral:lncRNA from 1 species
GUCAAUUCUUUUCUAUAUCGCUUGACUUUGUGCAUGACUUCAUAGGUUCGAACACUAAACCGAUAAUACAGGACCAUUUUCUGUACUAAUCGAAGUUACCAUCGAGCAAUGGUUUUCAAUGUCUGGAUAGAUCAAAUAUUUACAAAAAAAUAUUCAAGAACCUAUACGUAUGGCUACUGCAUACUUCAUCUAUUUGACCCUGAAUGCUCUAG